rnacentral:lncRNA from 1 species
UAAUUCAUUUAUGAAUGGAUAAGAACAGGAAAAUCAUAUUCCUGGUCGUACAUCAGCAAAAAACAUACAUCAUAAAAUAUUGACAAUAUAUUCAAUAGACAAAAUGUGUCAUUGCACAAAGAGAAGUGGUAACCUUUCUUUCUCUUCUUCUUGGUCCUUUCAUCCCAGGCGUUGGCACUGACAAGGGACACGUUGCCCUGGCCCAGGGAGGGCAGCAGUUUGGGCCGGGGGUCCACAGGGGGUUUGGGGAGCUUCUUUGGAGGAGGAGCAUCCCUCUGGGCUCUCCUGGCCAGCAGGGGUCCUGUCUGGACGAAGGCUUCAGGCCUGAUGAUGUCCCUGGGUGCGCUGCUGCUCCCUCUUGCAGCCUCCUCUGGCUGGGCAGCUUUCGGCAUGGAGAGAACAAACACAUUGUUGCUGAAGCUGCAUGACUCUGAAAGGGCCAGCUCCUCCAGGGUCAGAGGGCAGGCAGGACGUGACUCAGGCUGGACCAGACUCACAGCAGGACAGGACUCAAACUGGACUAGGUCCACAAUGCUGGUAGUGAUGCUCACAGGACUGGGAGGUCGGGACUCAAGAAUAACGGGACAAACAGGAUUACUGGGCCUCACUUUUCUCCUAGUGGUGCUCCGAGGGUUGCUCGGCCUCCCCUCAGGUCUGGAAGGCUGUACAUAAGACUGGACCAGGCCAACGGGGCUAACAGGCCGUCUAUUGGGGCAUUGAGGGUUAGAAGGCCUCCCCUCAGGUCUGGAAGGCUGUACGUCAAGCUGGACCAGGCCAACGGGGCUAACAGGCCGUCUAGUGGGGGGCCGAGGGUUGCUUGGCCUCCCCUCAGGUCUGGAAGGCUGUACGUCAGGCUGGACCAGGACAACGGGGCUAACAGGCCGUCUAGUGGGGCGUCGAGAGUUGCUAGGCCUCCCCUCAGGUCUGGAUGGCUGUACGUCAGGCUGGACCAGGACAACUGGUCUAACAGGCCGUCUAUUGGGGGGCCGAGGGUUGCUUGGCCUCCCCUCAGGUCUGGAAGGCUGUACGUCAGGCUGGACCAGGACAACGGGGCUAACAGGCCGUCUAGUGGGGCGUCGAGAGUUGCUAGGCCUCCCCUCAGGUUUGGAAGGCUGUACGUCAGGCUGGACCAGGACAACUGGUCUAACAGGCCGUCUAGUGGGGCGUCGAGAGUUGCUUGGCCUCCCCUCAGGUUUGGAAGGCUGUACGUCAGACUGGACCAGGACAACUGGUCUAACAGGCCGUCUAGUGGGGCGUCGAGAGUUGCUUGGCCUCCCCUCAGGUCUGGAAGGCUGUACGUCAGGCUGGACCAGGACAACUGGUCUAACAGGCCGUCUUGUGGGGCGUCGAGGGUUGCUAGGCCUCCCCUCAGGUCUAGUGAUGCUGACAGGGAUUCUAGGAAUCAUCAUCUCAUGCUGGUGCAGGCUCUCUGGGCUGCUGGGCCGGGAAUCAGGUAGAAGCUUGUAGUUCUUCAGAACCUCAGUGAAGGAGAGCUCCUUGUUGCGCCUGCGUC